UGCGUGUCUUCCAGCUUCUCUGUUGUUUCAGACCCAGAGAAGGACUUGUGUUUCUGUGGUGCUGCCACUAGCAGUAAUCAUAUUGCUGUGAUGGUCUCUCAUAAAUGAGAACAUAUUUCUCAGGAGGAGUGUCGUGCUCUAGCUUGUAUAGAUAGGAAAAACUGAACAAGUUUGGAGCACAUGAGCGUCUUUUGGCUCAGAAGAGCACCUCACAGCUCACUUGUUUGUUCCAGUUUUAUCAGUAUCUCUAAUGAAAUGCAUUGCUUCAUCCUGAAAACCUUGCUGUUCUUACAUCCACGGUUCCUACUAGCUUCAGAUGGAUUUGUUCCAGUUAAAACUGGCCUAUGCAUCUUCAGGCUCUACUAUGAAAAGUGUUGAGCGUCUGACCUGGCCUGGACAUCAGCAGUGACAGUGUUGGCAACCGUGACUGGGAUGGCUGCUCAGAUUUUGAGGAGUUUUUUUUUUUUCCACGAAGGUAUGGAAAGAGGGAGGAGAGCCUACAUAAUGAAGUGGAGCACAGUGAAAAGAUUGCAGAGCUCCUUUGAAUCCCCAGGAAACUGGGUGCCACUGGAGGGCAUAACUCUAAGAGAACAGCCACGGCUUCAGGCUGAAUCCUGCAGGGUCAUCUACUUUCAACUCACUAACCUGGAUGCAGGUGCAGUCACCGACUGUCACAGGAAGAGGUCCUCAGGUCCUUUCAUUUGUGACUGUGUCUGUGUUCGCUCUUCAGAUGUGCAGAUAUCUUUGGAUCUUUUGGAUCUUUACUUGAGAGCUACAAAAGUACAAGGAAAAGACUGCUGUCUCAGAGGUUGCUCCACUGGGUUAUUUCCGAUGUGAUAUGGCAAUAUAUGAUGUAUUCUCCAAAAGCCAGAGCUUCAGAACUGCAACUAGGCAGCCGCGUUGUUUUUGCAAGAAAACUGCAUACAGUGAAUGGCCCACAUAGUGUCAAUCAAAGUGAUGCAAAGUUUAAACACUGUGGCUCUUGGAUUGAAGUUGGAGGUGAUCUGUUCGGAUGAAAUUGUAGCAACAUAGCCUCAAGAAUGAAGCAAGCAGCCAGGCUGUCUGAGUGUGGGUGAAAUCUGAUGGAUUAUAUUCUUCUUGGACACCCUCCAGGAUCUCAGUCAGUGUCAGUGUAAUUUGUAAGGGCUGUGAAUUCUAGAAGGAGCAACACAUCAUGUGCAACACGUGUACUUCGUAUUUAAAGAAGUGAGGAAUUUGUGAGCAUUUUCUGUGGGUGAAAUCAGUGGUAUUUAGUUUCUAAAGAAACGAAGUCCUCUAAACACUUUGCUUUUUUAUUAAUCUUUCAUUAAAGUAAAUAAGCUUAUUGCAUUUAAAGUAAGCAGCUCGAUACUUGUGUCAAACUACUAUAGCAGUAUCCAAUAAAAAUUGGAAACUGGUCUCCA
rnacentral:lncRNA from 1 species